CCUAUUGACCCUGUGGAAGUAUGGGUUUUCUUCAUUCUUUUAAUGUUUUUACAUUUCUUCUUAUUAAAGAUUGUACUGAUCAAGAAUAUAUUUAAAUGUAUGCGAUUAUGGGAUGAUCUCUGAAGAACAAUAGAUAUUCUGUGUUAUGUCUAUUUGUAACUAAGGAAAGACAGUGGUCUCCUUGUACACUGAUGCAUACCUAGAGAAUCUUUGAACCCCAGUUGCAGGAGGGAAAAUUGUAAACAUUUACUUAGUGGAAUUUUGUAAGUAACUUCUGUUGGGAAACAGUCUUGUGCAGAAGACCUUUGAGUUGUAAGAGAAGAGAAAGGAUACUGAUCUAGAAAGAACUGAUUUGCUAUAUCUAGUAAAUGUAUAGAUUAUAUUCUAUUAAAAUGAAUGAAUGAAAAUCACAGCAACAGUAAUGAUAUUAACAUAGUUUGUUAGAACAUGGUGGUGUGUAUAUGAGUCAAUAUUUCAGUUGGAUUACAGCAUGUAGUGAAUGCAUGUAAAGUGCAUGUACUUUGAAACUGGAAGAUGGAACAAUUGUUAACCAUGAAGACAAAUACUUGUUAUUCAAGUCAUGCAUAUACAUUUCUCUGUAAGUGUGUGUAGUGAAAUAUCUGUCAUUGAUUAAAAUGAAAGAUUAUAUAAUAGUUAUUGUUAAACUAACUUAUGAAACAUAUGUUUGACCUAGGCUGGGAUUGGUUAUUUUAAAGGGAAGAUACAUCAGGGUAGGAGGAGAUCUGGUUGUAUAAAAAGGAUGUAAAAACAUAAUGGGAGGAAGCUCUCUAUGUAUCUUUAUGGUACUAGAGACCUCCCGUAGGCCUACGUACAUGAAAAGGAUUAUUGAUUAAAGAGAAUAAAAAGGUUAUUAGAAUAAAUCAUAAGUUCUAGUCUUUAUUCUUGCAUCACCGACUCACCCACCGAACCUAAGAAGGGGUUUUCCUCCACAAAAUUUGGCGAGCCAGCCAGGAGUCCAACAACCUCGAGGGAGGCACGCAAGGGAACCGACGGAGUGCGGUGUUUCUCCUUCUAGUGACCGGUCAACUUUAGUAAAAGGCUAAAGAAGCACAGGGGCCACAAGCAGAAACCCCUGAUCUUCCGGUUAAUCCAGGUGAUUGGAUUUACGUGAAAUAGUUCAAAAGGAAGUGGAAACAGCCAAGACAAGUAGGACCUUACCAGGUGAUCCUUGCCACUCCAACAGCGGUUAAGGUAAAGGAGAUUGGACCAUGGGUACACCUAAACCACUGUCGCAGAGCAAAAGAGUCAGAAGCCGAAAGAACCAUAGAAAAAGAAUAAAGGAAUGCCAGUUUCUCUGGGUACUUUCUAUUCUUCUCGAGGGAAACACUUUUCGAAUAGUUAUAAGAAACAAUAGCAGCAGCAAAACAGACCCUAGUAAGAUUGAAAAGUCUACUGAGACAUACCAUGACUUCACCAUAGAUAAGAGUACUAUUACAUCAAUAACCCUGACACCUGGAGAAGUAGUACCACUUAAAAUGAACUUAGCUGUGAAUGACAUAGAUAGAGGAAAGGCAGAAGUGACAGUAGGAUUAAGAAAGUUGUUAGGAGGUCUAGAGGAUGUGAGUAAUGAAAGAGAGACAAACC